GGGCCCCGCGCAGAGCUCCGGCCAGGCCCCCACCCCCCGGCCCCGCGCAGACCCCCGCCGCGGCCGGGCCGCCCCCCCCCCGGCCCCGAGCAGACCCUGCCCGGGCCCCUGCACAGACCCCCGCACAGACCCCCGCAGCGGCCAGGCCCCGGCUCCCCGACUCCCCGGUCCCGCCGCUCCAUCCCCUGGCCCCCUCCCUCUUGCCCCCUCCCUCCGCAGUUGGUCCCGCCCCCACCCCCCCGGCCCGCACGGACCCACGCCUUUGUUACGGUGCGAAGUUGGGCCGUGGGUCCCGGUCUCUUUCACUUCUUGGGUUACAGUGCAGGCGUGUGACGUCCGCUCCACAUGACGGGGGCGGGGGGCGGGCGCCAGGGGCGGGGGCGCGGGCAGGGCCCUCCCCCCCCUCUCGGCGCUGCCCGCCCCGCCCACGGCCCGCCCCCUGGAAGCCCAGCAACCAGCGGCCACCGCCCCGCCCCCGCCCCCGGGGCGGGCAGGUAAAUCCCCCCGCCCCCCAGCAGCACCCGCGCCCAGCGCCGCACCGCAGGAGAUACAGAAAUAGGGAUGAUUUAAUCCAGCGACACCUCCCCAGCGCUGCCCAUUCCUCGAUCCGUCAGAUCGCUGAGAUGGGCGUAGGACGAAGGUCGCCUGGGGUCGCCCAUGGACCCUCCGGGUGACCUCGGUGCGGCCCGGCAGCCGGGCACACCGUGCGUGGACGAGGCCGGGGCGCGGGGUCUCUCCCAGGGGUCUCCCUGCAGGGGUCUCCCGGAGGGAGUGGUACACGUGGGUCUCUAAAGCGACCACUGCAGCAGCACCAUCCAUCCCCGAGUGCAGCAGCACAGCAACUCCAGCAGUGAAACUGAGAUGCUACCUGGCCAGGUCUGGCCCAUAUACUUCCACACGCACUAGCGAUAUUCCUAGGGAGGCUGGUGCCAGAUUAAGCCAGUACGAAACGUGAGGCGGCCCGUGACGCACUCCGCGCGUGAAUGUGCCCAUUGUGCAGGGGAGACGCGGCCAGCGCUCCGCAUUCAUAAGUCGGUGGGCAGCAGAACUUUCACCGACCGUGAGCAAGUCACAUUCUAGAAUUUGCCAUGGACUAAGUAGCAACUUCCAGUGAAAAAAUAAAAUUUGAAGUUGGAAGGUACA
rnacentral:lncRNA from 1 species